rnacentral:rRNA from 1 species
UACGGAGGGUGCAAGCGUUAUCCGGAUUCACUGGGUUUAAAGGGUGCGUAGGUGGGCAGGUAAGUCAGUGGUGAAAUCUCCGGGCUUAACCCGGAACUGCCGUUGAUACUAUCUGUCUUGAAUAUCGUGGAGGUGAGCGGGAAUAUGUCAUGUAGCGGUGAAAUGCUUAGAUAUGACAUAGAACAUCAAUUGACGAACGGCAGCUCGCUACACGGUUAUUGACACUGGAGGCACGAAAAGCGUGGGG